rnacentral:rRNA from 1 species
UACGUAGGGUGCGAGCGUUGUCCGGAAUUAUUGGGCGUAAAGAGCUCGUAGGCGGUGUGUCACGUCGGCCGUGAAAACCUGCAGCUUAACUGUGGGCGUGCGGUCGAUACGGGCAUCACUGGAGUUCGGCAGGGGAGACUGGAAUUCCUGGUGUAGCGGUGAAAUGCGCAGAUAUCAGGAGGAACACCAAUGGCGAAGGCAGAUCUCUGGGCCGUAACUGACGCUGAGGAGCGAAAGCAUGGGGAGCGAACAGG